rnacentral:rRNA from 1 species
AGGAACGCAUUUAUUAGAUAAAAAGCCAAUGUCAUGCUUUUACAGUAUGAAAAUUGGUGAUUUAUAAUAACUUAGCAAAUCGCAAAGUGAAAACAGGCGAUAAAUCAUUCAAGUUUCUGACCUAUCAGCUUUCGACGGUAUGGUAUUGGCUUACCGUGGCAGUGACGGUUAACGGGGGAUUAGGGUUCGAUUCCGGAGAGGGAGCCUGAGAAACGGCUACCACAUCUAAGGAAGGCAGCAGGCGCGCAAAUUACCCAAUUCUAACAGUUUGAGAGAGGUAGUAACAAGAAAUAACAAUACAAGGCAGUUAAAAUGCUUUGUAAUUGGAAUGAUAGAAAUUUAAACCCUUUUUAAAGUAUCAAUUGGAGGGCAAGUCUGGUGCCAGCAGCCGCGGUAAUUCCAGCUCCAAUAGCGUAUAUUAAAAUUGUUGCAGUUAAAAAGCUCGUAGUUGAAGUUCUGCUAAAAGUAACCGGUCUGCUUUUAAUAAAGGUGGUAUCUUGGUGUGUAUUUAGCAAUGAUGUCCUUUGAAGUGUUUUUUACUUUAUUGUAAUAAAGCAUAUUCAGGACUUUUACUUUGAGAAAAUUAGAGUGUUUCUAGCAGGCUAACGCUUUGAAUACUGCAGCAUGGAAUAAUAAGA